rnacentral:rRNA from 1 species
UACGGGGGGAGCAAGCGUUGUUCGGAUUUACUGGGCGUAAAGGGCGCGUAGGCGGCGUGACAAGUCACUUGUGAAAUCUCCGGGCUUAACUCGGAGCGGUCAAGUGAUACUGUCGUGCUAGAGUGCGGAAGGGGCUACUGGAAUUCUCGGUGUAGCGGUGAAAUGCGUAGAUAUCGAGAGGAACACCUGCGGCGAAGGCGGGUAGCUGGGCCGACACGUGACGCUGAUGCGCGAAAGCCAGGGGAGCGAACGGG